rnacentral:rRNA from 1 species
UACGUAGGGGGCAAGCGUUAUCCGGAUUUACUGGGUGUAAAGGGCGCGUAGGCGGUAAUAUAAGUCAGAUGUGAAAGGUGGGGGCUCAACCCCUAGAGUGCAACUGAUACUGUAUAACUUGAGUGUGAGAGAGGGAAGCGGAAUUCCUAGUGUAGCGGUGAAAUGCGUAGAUAUUAGGAGGAACACCAGUGGCGAAGGCGGUCUGCUGGACAGUAACUGACGCUGAGGCGCGAAAGCGUGGGGAGCAAACAGG